rnacentral:rRNA from 1 species
UACGUAGGCAGCAAGCGUUGUUCGGAAUUACUGGGCGUAAAGAGUGUGUAGGCGGUGCUCUAAGUUCGGUGUGAAAUCUCCCGCUUAACUGGGAGGGUGCGCCGGAAACUGGAGUGCUCGAGCGUGGGAGAGGAAAGCGGAAUUCCUGGUGUAGCGGUGAAAUGCGUAGAUAUCAGGAGGAACACCGGUGGUGUAGACGGCUUUCUGGACCAUAGCUGACGCUGAGACACGAAAGCGUGGGUAGCAAACAGG